rfam:Pteropus alecto contig60784, whole genome shotgun sequence.
GGUUCCAUAGUGUAGCUGUCAUCACGUCUGCUUUACAUGCAGAAGGUCCUGGGUUCGUGCCCCAGUGGAGCCA